AUGAGCCCGCGGCUGAUUAGCUAGUUGGUAGGGUAAUGGCCUACCAAGGCGACGAUCAGUAGCCGGCCUGAGAGGGUGAACGGCCACACUGGAACUGAGACACGGUCCAGACUCCUACGGGAGGCAGCAGUGGGGAAUAUUGCACAAUGGGCGCAAGCCUGAUGCAGCAACGCCGCGUGAGUGAAGAAGGCCUUCGGGUCGUAAAACUCUGUCCUAAGGGAAGAAGAAGUGACGGUACCUUAGGAGGAAGCCCCGGCUAACUACGUGCCAGCAGCCGCGGUAAUACGUAGGGGGCAAGCGUUAUCCGGAAUCACUGGGCGUAAAGGGUGCGUAGGCGGCUGAUCAAGCCAGGAGUGAAAGGCAGUGGCUCAACCAUUGUAAGCUUUUGGAACUGGUCAGCUUGAGUGCAGGAGAGGAAAGCGGAAUUCCUAGUGUAGCGGUGAAAUGCGUANAUAUUANGAGGAACACCCGUGGCGAANGCGGCUUUCUGGACUGUAACUGACGCUGAGGCACNAAAGCGUGGGGAGCAAANNGGAUUA
rnacentral:rRNA from 1 species